CAGUAGCCGCGGUAAAACAGAGGGUGCGAGCGUUAAUCGGAUUUACUGGGCGUAAAGCGUGCGUAGGCGGCUAAUUGAGUCGGAUGUGAAAUCCCCGAGCUUAACUUGGGAAUUGCAUUCGAUACUGGUUAGCUAGAGUGUGGGAGAGGAUGGUAGAAUUCCAGGUGUAGCUGUGAAAUGCGUAGAGAUCUGGAGGAAUACCGAUGGCGAAGGCAGCCAUCUGGCCUAACACUGACGCUGAGGUACGAAAGCAUGGGGAGCAAACAGGAUUAGAUACCCCCGUAGUCCCUGUCUCUUAUAC
rnacentral:rRNA from 1 species